rnacentral:rRNA from 1 species
AGGUUGGGUAACACUAACUGGAGGACCGAACCGACUAAUGUUGAAAAAUUAGCGGAUGACCUGUGGCUGGGGGUGAAAGGCCAAUCAAACCGGGAGAUAGCUGGUUCUCCCCGAAAGCUAUUUAGGUAGCGCCUCGUGAAUUCAUCUCCGGGGGUAGAGCACUGUUUCGGCUAGGGGGCCAUCCCGGCUUACCAACCCGAUGCAAACUGCGAAUACCGGAGAAUGUUAUCACGGGAGACACACGGCGGGUGCUAACGUCCGUCGUGAAGAGGGAAACAACCCAGACCGCCAGCUAAGGUCCCAAAGUCAUGGUUAAGUGGGAAACGAUGUGGGAAGGCCCAGACAGCCAGGAUGUUGGCUUAGAAGCAGCCAUCAUUUAAAGAAAGCGUAAUAGCUCACUGGUCGAGUCGGCCUGCGCGGAAGAUGUAACGGGGCUAAACCAUGCACCGAAGCUGCGGCAGCGACACUGUGUGUUGUUGGGUAGGGGAGCGUUCUGUAAGCCUGUGAAGGUGUGUCGUGAGGCAUGCUGGAGGUAUCAGAAGUGCGAAUGCUGACAUAAGUAACGAUAAAGCGGGUGAAAAGCCCGCUCGCCGGAAGACCAAGGGUUCCUGUCCAACGUUAAUCGGGGCAGGGUGAGUCGACCCCUAAGGCGAGGCCGAAAGGCGUAGUCGAUGGGAAACGGGUUAAUAUUCCCGUACUUGGUGUUACUGCGAAGGGGGGACGGAGAAGGCUAUGUUGGCCGGGCGACGGUUGUCCCGGUUUAAGCGUGUAGGUGUGUGUUCCAGGUAAAUCCGGUUCACUUUAACACUGAGGCGUGACGACGAGGCACUACGGUGCUGAAGCAACAAAUGCCCUGCUUCCAGGAAAAGCCUCUAAGCAUCAGGUAACAUCAAAUCGUACCCCAAACCGACACAGGUGGUCAGGUAGAGAAUACCAAGGCGCUUGAGAGAACUCGGGUGAAGGAACUAGGCAAAAUGGUGCCGUAACUUCGGGAGAAGGCACGCUGACACGUAGGUGAAGUGAUUUACUCAUGGAGCUGAAGUCAGUCGAAGAUACCAGCUGGCUGCAACUGUUUAUUAAAAACACAGCACUGUGCAAACACGAAAGUGGACGUAUACGGUGUGACGCCUGCCCGGUGCCGGAAGGUUAAUUGAUGGGGUCAGCGCAAGCGAAGCUCCUGAUCGAAGCCCCGGUAAACGGCGGCCGUAACUAUAACGGUCCUAAGGUAGCGAAAUUCCUUGUCGGGUAAGUUCCGACCUGCACGAAUGGCGUAAUGAUGGCCAGGCUGUCUCCACCCGAGACUCAGUGAAAUUGAACUCGCUGUGAAGAUGCAGUGUACCCGCGGCAAGACGGAAAGACCCCGUGAACCUUUACUAUAGCUUGACACUGAACAUUGAGCCUUGAUGUGUAGGAUAGGUGGGAGGCUUUGAAGUGUGGACGCCAGUCUGCAUGGAGCCGACCUUGAAAUACCACCCUUUAAUGUUUGAUGUUCUAACGUGGACCCGUUACCCGGGUUGCGGACAGUGUCUGGUGGGUAGUUUGACUGGGGCGGUCUCCUCCUAAAGAGUAACGGAGGAGCACGAAGGUUGGCUAAUCCUGGUCGGACAUCAGGAGGUUAGUGCAAUGGCAUAAGCCAGCUUGACUGCGAGCGUGACGGCGCGAGCAGGUGCGAAAGCAGGUCAUAGUGAUCCGGUGGUUCUGAAUGGAAGGGCCAUCGCUCAACGGAUAAAAGGUACUCCGGGGAUAACAGGCUGAUACCGCCCAAGAGUUCAUAUCGACGGCGGUGUUUGGCACCUCGAUGUCGGCUCAUCACAUCCUGGGGCUGAAGUAGGUCCCAAGGGUAUGGCUGUUCGCCAUUUAAAGUGGUACGCGAGCUGGGUUUAGAACGUCGUGAGACAGUUCGGUCCCUAUCUGCCGUGGGCGCUGGAGAACUGAGGGGGGCUGCUCCUAGUACGAGAGGACCGGAGUGGACGCAUCACUGGUGUUCGGGUUGUCAUGCCAAUGGCACUGCCCGGUAGCUAAAUGCGGAAGAGAUAAGUGCUGAAAGCAUCUAAGCACGAAACUUGCCCCGAGAUGAGUUCUCCCUGAGACUUAAAGUCUCCUGAAGGAACGUUGAAGACGACGACGUUGAUAGGCCGGGUGUGUAAGCGCAGCGAUGCGUUGAGCUAACCGGUACUAAUGAACCGUG